rnacentral:lncRNA from 1 species
GGAAAGUGGAGAAGAGAAGAGAAAAGAAGAGAAGAACUAGGGCAUUUUAAAAGUGUGAUGAUGGAGGAUUGUUCCUGAUUCUCCCUGCCAAACAGAGAUAGUUGAGAUAAUGAGGAAUGCUCUCCAUUCAUCAGGCAAUUCCCCUCCCUCAGACGUUAUAUGCAGAUCUAGAGGAAAAACCCAUUUUGCCACAGUGGGAAGAUCAAGAAGGCGGACAUAAGAGAGAGCUCUGAGAGGGAGAACAGCAAGAAAGCAGUGACAUGACUACUUUCAGCUGAUAUGCACUGAGAAAACUAUGUUACAUCAACAGCAGCAUCAGUAUUGCCAUCGGUGAUGCAUUUUUUAAGAUUUAUAUCCUAACGUGCUCCUAAAACUGGAAUUCAAGACAGCUCAUUAAAAUGAGCUUUGUUGGAUGGUUGGUUGGAUGGAUUCCAGCAGAAUGAAGGAUUAUAAAUUCACCAUCUCUAUUGUACAAAAAAUUAAAUCAGAGCUAACCGAAAUUUAGAGAUUUCUAUGGAACUCCAGGUUAUAGACAUUAUCUAUGCUUCGAAUCACAACUUGGUGCUUGGCACAUUUUGCAGUUCGGUUGUUUUUAACUGUCUAGGAUACAAAUUUUGAUGCAAUUAUGUUUUAUUGGUGCAAUUAUGUUUUAUUUAAGUGUUUGUAUCGCUUAUACUUUAAUUCAAUGUUUAUGGUAAUAAGUCCGUUAAUGUUUAAUUCCCAUAUUUUGAUAUAAUGUGAUCUUAAUUAUGGCAUUGAAUGUU